AAAAAGUUAAUAUUUGGGACUCAUUAAGUCGCAUCGAUGUCAUCCUUAUCAGUGAUUGUAGCGGCCUAGCGAAAAUUCACUGCUGAUCAGUGUGAGGGCCAGCUUGAUUCGCAGUUAGUGAAGGGCCAAGAACAUGGAGAAUUGGUAAUUGCCUUGUAUAGUUGUAUCACUGCAAACUAUAAUGCACAGGGAGUCUUGAGCAGAAAUAAUAAUAAAAGAGACUUGAACAUCCUUGGAGAGGAACAUGUAUUUAGUAAAUAUUAAUACUAAAGAAAGAAAGCAACUCUAAAUUCUGAAUAUAAAGCCAUCAAAUUCUUUUAUAGAUCUUAUUGUGGAAACCCAAA